GCCAUGGGGGACAUGGCCAUGGCCAUCCUCCAGGUCCUUGUGGGCCACCCCCUGGUCAUGGCCCAGGGCCCUGUGGCCCACCCCCUGGCCAUGGCCCAGGGCCUUGUGGGCCUCGCCCUGGCCAUGGCCCAGGGCACCCACACCCUGGUCCACAUCACUGAGGAAGUAGACUAAAACAGGACACAAGAUGGCAAGCCUGAGAGAACUUCCCAGCUGACCUGGAAGAAGACCUGAACCAGAAUCUUCUUUUCCUAAUAAACAGCCUCCUAGAGGCCAUGUUCUAUUCUUAAAA